CCUACGGGUGGCAGCAGUGAGGAAUAUUGGUCAAUGGCCGGAAGGCUGAACCAGCCAUGCCGCGUGAAGGUCAGUGCCCUAUGGGCGUUAAACUUCUUUUGUGCGGGAGCAAUAAUGGUCACGUGUGGCCAGACGAGAGUACCGUACGAAUAAGCAUCGGCUAACUCCGUGCCAGCAGCCGCGGUAAUACGGGGGAUGCAAGCGUUAUCCGGAUUUAUUGGGUUUAAAGGGUGCGUAGGCUGUGAGGUAAGUCAGCGGUGAAAUGCCCCCGCUCAACGGGGUGAAGUGCCAUUGAUACUGCCUGGCUGGAGUGCGGAUGCGGUGGGAGGAAUGUGUGGUGUAGCGGUGAAAUGCAUAGAGAUCACACAGAACACCGAUUGCGAAGGCAUCUCACGAAUCCGCGAUUGACGCUGAUGCACGAAAGCGUGGGUAUCAAACAGGAUUAGAUACCCUGGUAGUC
rnacentral:rRNA from 1 species